rnacentral:rRNA from 1 species
CGGGGUAGAAGCCCACCAAGGCGACGAUCAGUAGCCGGCCUGAGAGGGUGAACGGCCACAUUGGGACUGAGACACGGCCCAAACUCCUACGGGAGGCAGCAGUGGGGAAUAUUGCACAAUGGGGGAAACCCUGAUGCAGCAACGCCGCGUGAGUGAAGAAGUCAUUCGUGAUGUAAAGCUCUAUCAGCAGGGAAGAAAAUGACGGUACCUGAGUAAGAAGCCCCGGCUAACUACGUGCCAGCAGCCGCGGUAAUACGUAGGGGGCAAGCGUUAUCCGGAUUUACUGGGUGUAAAGGGAGCGUAGACGGCCAGACAAGUCUGAAGUGAAAAUCCAGCGCUUAACGUUGGAAGUGCUUUGGAAACUGCCGGGCUAGAGUGCAGGAGGGGCAGGCGGAAUUCCUAGUGUAGCGGUGAAAUGCGUAGAUAUUAGGAGGAACACCAGUGGCGAAGGCGGCCUGCUGGACUGCAACUGACGUUGAGGCUCGAAGGCGUGGGGAGCAAACAGGAUUAGAUACCCUGGUAGUCCACGCGGUAAACGAUGAUUACUAGGUGUCGGGGGGCU